rnacentral:rRNA from 1 species
AGUGAACGCUGGCGGUAGGCCUAACACAUGCAAGUCGAACGGCAGCACAGUAAGAGCUUGCUCUUACGGGUGGCGAGUGGCGGACGGGUGAGGAAUACAUCGGAAUCUACUUUUUCGUGGGGGAUAACGUAGGGAAACUUACGCUAAUACCGCAUACGACCUACGGGUGAAAGCAGGGGAUCUUCGGACCUUGCGCGAUUGAAUGAGCCGAUGUCGGAUUAGCUAGUUGGCGGGGUAAAGGCCCACCAAGGCGAGGAUCCGUAGCUGGUCUGAGAGGAUGAUAGGCCACACUGGAACUGAGACACGGUCCAGACUCCUACGGGAGGCAGCAGUGGGGAAUAUUGGACAAUGGGCGCAAGCCUGAUCCAGCCAUACCGCGUGGGUGACGAAGGCCUUCGGGUUGUAAAGCCCUUUUGUUGGGAAAGAAAAGCAGCAGGUUAAUACCCCGCUGUUCUGACGGUACCCAAAGAAUAAGCACCGGCUAACUUCGUG